rnacentral:rRNA from 1 species
UUGCUUCGGUAACUGACCUAGCGGCGGACGGGUGAGUAAUACUUAGGAAUCUGCCUAUUAGUGGGGGACAACGUUUCGAAAGGAACGCUAAUACCGCAUACGUCCUACGGGAGAAAGCAGGGGAUCACUUGUGACCUUGCGCUAAUAGAUGAGCCUAAGUCGGAUUAGCUAGUUGGUGGGGUAAAGGCCUACCAAGGCGACGAUCUGUAGCGGGUCUGAGAGGAUGAUCCGCCACACUGGGACUGAGACACGGCCCAGACUCCUACGGGAGGCAGCAGUGGGGAAUAUUGGACAAUGGGGGGAACCCUGAUCCAGCCAUGCCGCGUGUGUGAAGAAGGCCUUAUGGUUGUAAAGCACUUUAAGCGAGGAGGAGGAGCUCUUGGUUAAUACCCAAGAUGCUUGGACGUUACUCGCAGAAUAAGCACCGGCUAACUCUGUGCCAGCAGCCGCGGUAAUACAGAGGGUGCGAGCGUUAAUCGGAUUUACUGGGCGUAAAGCGUGCGUAGGCGGCUUUUUAAGUCGGAUGUGAAAUCCCCGAGCUUAACUUGGGAAUUGCAUUCGAUACUGGGAAGCUAGAGUAUGGGAGAGGAUGGUAGAAUUCCAGGUGUAGCGGUGAAAUGCGUAGAGAUCUGGAGGAAUACCGAUGGCGAAGGCAGCCAUCUGGCCUAAUACUGACGCUGAGGUACGAAAGCAUGGGGAGCAAACAGGAUUAGAUACCCUGGUAGUCCAUGCCGUAAACGAUGUCUACUAGCCGUUGGGGCCUUUGAGGCUUUAGUGGCG